AAUCUCAUGGCUCAAUUGGAUAGAGCGUUGGUCUAUGAAAUCAAAGGCUGAAGGUUCGAGUCCUUCCGAAAUUA
rnacentral:tRNA from 2 species